CUCGAUUCCUCCUCCAAAUCCGUCUUCCAUGGCGAUAUCGGCUCCAGCCGCUUGUUCCUCUUCAUCUAGAAUCCUCUGUUCCUACUCCGCACCUUCUCCUUCUCUUUAUCCCGCACCUGUUUCCGCCAUUUCCACCUCUGGCAAGCUCAAAACCCUAACUCUCUCUUCCUCUUUCCUCCCUUCUUACUCACUGACCACUACCUCCGCUUCUCAAUCCACUCGUCGUUCCUUCACUGUACGUGCCGCUCGUGGUAAGUUCGAGAGGAAGAAGCCUCAUGUCAACAUCGGUACGAUUGGUCAUGUUGACCAUGGGAAGACCACUCUAACCGCAGCUCUCACUAUGGCUCUCGCUUCCAUGGGAAACAGCGUUGCGAAGAAGUAUGACGAGAUUGACGCAGCGCCGGAGGAGAGAGCUCGUGGUAUCACAAUCAACACUGCUACCGUGGAGUACGAGACUGAGAACCGUCAUUACGCUCACGUUGAUUGUCCUGGUCACGCUGAUUACGUCAAGAAUAUGAUUACUGGAGCUGCUCAGAUGGACGGAGCUAUCCUCGUUGUCUCCGGCGCCGAUGGUCCUAUGCCUCAGACUAAAGAGCAC
rnacentral:lncRNA from 1 species